rnacentral:misc_RNA from 1 species
UACGUAGGUGGCAAGCGUUAUCCGGAAUUAUUGGGCGUAAAUCGCGCACAGGCGGUUCCUUAAGUCUGAUGUGAAAGCCUACGGCUCAACCGUGGAGGGUCAUUGGAAACUGGGGAACUUGAGUGCAGAAGAGGAAAGCGGAAUUCCACGUGUAGCGGUGAAAUGCGUAGAGAUGUGGAGGAACACCAGUGGCGAAGGCGACUCUCUGGUCUGUAACUGACGCUGAGGCGCGAAAGCGUGGGGAGCAAACAGG